rnacentral:tRNA from 1 species
GCCGGAGUGGCGGAAUGGCAGACGCAGCGGACUCAAAAUCCGCCGGGAUAACACCCGUGGGAGUUCGACCCUCCCCUCCGGCA